AACUGAUACUACCUGCGGGAACCUGCGGAAGGAUCAUUAAACAACUAGGCCGUAACAAGCCUUGAACCCUUCUCUACGCGCACCUUUACCUUCUCCUUCGGCGGGUCAGCGCCCGCCGUCGGAACCAACAAACCCCCUUUUGCAUCUAGCAUACCACCCGUUCCGAUACAAAACACAAUCGUUACAACUUUUAACAAUGGAUCUCU
rnacentral:misc_RNA from 1 species